AUCCUGCAAUAUAGGAGCUCCCAUCUCUCUCAUUGGAGGCUGAUCUCUGAAGAUAAGAGUGUGUGGCGUAAAAGAUGAGGAUGUUGAGUCUUCUGUACCUCUUGACAGCCCUUCCUGGUAUCCUGUGUGAUGUGCAGCUUCAGGAAUCAGGACCUGGCCUGCUGAGACCCUCUCAGUCUCUGUCCCUCACAUGUUCUGUCACUGGCUUCUCCAUAACCACUAGUAGUUAUUACUGGAACUGGAUCCGUCAGACUCCAGGAAAAAAACUGGAGUAUAUGGGGUACAUAAACUAUGGUGGUAGCACUUACUACAACCCAUCUUUCCAAAGUAGAAUCUCCAUCACUAGAGACACAUCCAAGAACCAGUUUUUCCUGCAGUUGAACUCUGUGACUACUGAGGACACAGCCACAUAUUACUGUGCAAGAGACACAGUGUGGAGGCUUCUGUGUGGGCCCAGACAUAAACCUCCUUGUAGUGCAACUCUGCACCAACAGAGGGCAUGCAACAUACAUCAAGCAUAG